AGAUGAUGACUGAACCCCGGCUAGAUCGAUGAUAUAGCCGUGUGAGAGCUGAUU
rnacentral:ncRNA from 16 species